rnacentral:rRNA from 1 species
GAUGAACGCUGGCGGCGUGCCUAAUACAUGCAAGUCGAGCGAACAGAUGAGGAGCUUGCUCCUCUGACGUUAGCGGCGGACGGGUGAGUAACACGUGGAUAACCUACCUAUAAGACUGGGAUAACUUCGGGAAACCGGAGCUAAUACCGGAUAAUAUAUUGAAACACAUGGUUCAAUAGUGAAAGACGGUUUUGCUGUCACUUAUAGAUGGAUCCGCGGUGCAUUAGCUAGUUGGGAAGGUAAAGGCUUACCAAGGCAAUGAUAAAUAGCCGACCUGGGGGGGAGAGCGGCCACAGUGGGACUGAGACACGGCAGAAACGGCUACGGGAGGCAGCAGUAGGGAAGCGUAGGGAAUGGACGAAAGUCUGACCGAGCAAAGCAGCGUGAGUGAAGAAGGUUGUCGGAUCGUAAAACUCUGUUGGUAGAGAAGAACGUUGGGGAGAGUGGAAAGCGCAUCAAGUGACGGUAACUACCCAGAAAGGGACGGCUAACUACGUG